AUUGAACGCUGGCGGCAUGCUUUACACAUGCAAGUCGAACGGUAACAGGCCGCAAGGUGCUGACGAGUGGCGAACGGGUGAGUAAUGCAUCGGAACGUGCCCAGUCGUGGGGGAUAACGCAGCGAAAGCUGCGCUAAUACCGCAUACGAUCUAUGGAUGAAAGCGGGGGACCGUAAGGCCUCGCGCGAUUGGAGCGGCCGAUGUCAGAUUAGGUAGUUGGUGGGGUAAAGGCUCACCAAGCCGACGAUAUGUAGCUGGUCUGCGAGGACGACCAGCCACACUGGGACUGAGACACGGCCCAGACUCCUACGGGAGGCAGCAGUGGGUAAUUUUGGACAAUGGGCGCAAGCCUGAUCCAGCAAUGCCGCGUGCAGGAAGAAGGCCUUCGGGUUGUAAACUGCUUUUGUACGGAACGAAACGGUCCUGGUUAAUACCCGGGGCUAAUGACGGUACCGUAAGAAUAAGCACCGGCUAACUACGUGCCAGCCGCCGCCGUAA
rnacentral:rRNA from 1 species